ACAGGAGUUCACAUGGAGGAAGCAGAAGAGGCUGAGGUCUGAGGCUUUUCAUUGACUGUCUGAAUACACACCAUGAAAUCAGCACCAUUGGCUUCAAAGACAUUUAUUAAAACGAUGCAUUUGUAAGAAGAAAUUUUAUGAGAUCUGUGGCUUAUGAAGUCCUUGAUCUAUUUAAUCCAGAUGAUUGGAUCCUAAUGUUUGCAGCAAAGACAGGCCCUAAUGCUUAUAGGUAAG
rnacentral:lncRNA from 1 species